rnacentral:misc_RNA from 1 species
AACAGGAGCACCCAAAUUCCCGACCUGAACAUAUAAAAAGAAAAAUUAAUAACAUCGUCACUAAUUACAGUAUUCAGUCUUUGAUUUUCCUGAAAAAGGACAAAAGAUAACCAGUCUAGAACUACUCUAGAAAUGAAAAGAAAAAAAGAUAAUUGUAUUUAACAAAAUUUGGAAUUACUAACAAAGUAAGGUUUUCCAUAUAUGACAAAUUAAAAUGAACUGACAUUAU